rnacentral:rRNA from 1 species
UACAGAGGGUGCGAGCGUUGUUCGGAAUUACUGGGCUUAAAGGGUGCGUAGGCUGCGCAGAAAGUUGGGUGUGAAAUCCCUCGGCUCAACCGAGGAACUGCGCCCAAAACUACUGUGCUCGAGGAAGACAGAGGUGAGCGGAACUUAGGGUGGAGCGGUGAAAUGCGUUGAUAUCCUAAGGAACACCCGUGGCGAAAGCGGCUCACUGGGUCUUUUCUGACGCUGAGGCACGAAAGCUAGGGUAGCGAACGGG